rnacentral:lncRNA from 1 species
CAGGGGCUAGGUGUCCAUUUCAGUUGGUGGGUUGGUCAGUUGGUGACCCAGUCAGUCCGUCCCUCAGUGCCACAUGCCACCAGCUACAAGCACUGUUUAAGGGGACACUGGUGAGAAGGAAUCAGAUGCCCCUUCAGGAGGUGCAUUGACAGCUGAGAUGUGGGAGGGGUUGGUUUCUGUGGCAAAGCACGGAGCCAGGGCUGGAGUCUCACAGCAUGAGGGUGACAUCCAGAGCUUCCUACAACCUGCUCAUCCGCUUUGUCCAGUUGAGGUGAAGCCUGGAAGUGUCCAGGAGAAGGCUGGAAGAUGUCCGGUGGCACCAGCAGCUGCAGAAGCUCCUCCUACAGAGAUGAACGUGUCAACGACAACCAGUGCAGGGGCUUUUUCAAGUGUUGCGAGGUCCUGUGUAGGAGGAAAUGUGUUUAUCCCACAGCAGAUUGAUGCCAGUGUGAUGAAGCUGAGGAUUCCUGGUGUCCAGGGAGUCCACUUCCCACACAAGCCUGAGGUAUCCGCAGUCCCCGCUGAAGCCUUGGUGCUGCCACGGAUGCUUCCUCUGUGCCCGGUCCUUUGUGUAUUCCUGGCACCCAGAAAAGGGCUGGGCACGGAAAAUGUGUUUUGACCAGAGAACAAAUAAAAGCACACGCUUCUGUCGGC